rnacentral:rRNA from 1 species
ACUCCUACGGGAGGCAGCAGUGGGGAAUAUUGCACAAUGGGCGCAAGCCUGAUGCAGCAACGCCGCGUGAGCGAUGAAGGCCUCGGUCGUAAAGCUCUGUCCUCAAGGAAGAAUAAAUGACGGUACUUGAGGAGGAAGCCCGGCUAACUACGUGCCAGCAGCCGCGGUAAUACGUAGGGGGCAAGCGUUAUCCGGAAUCACUGGGCGUAAAGGGUGCGUAGGCGGUUUUCAAGUCAGAAGUGAAAGGCUAUGGCUCAACCAUAGUAAGCUUUUGAAACUGUUAAACUUGAGUGCAGGAGAGGAAAGUGGAAUUCCUAGUGUAGAGGUGAAAUUCGUAGAUAUUAGGAGGAACACCAGUGGCGAAGGCGACUUUCUGGACUGUAACUGACGCUGAGGCACGAAAGCGUGGGGAGA